AAGUGCAAUGAAGUUUUCUCAGCUCAGAACGGUGUGAUAGAUUUAUCCAAAGAAUAAAAUAAUAGCUAUUAUGAUCCUACGUCUAAAUACAGAAAUAACAACAGGUUAUGGGCCCAGGUUCAAUAAUUAGUUAUUAUUUUUAUUGAAAAUAUUAUUAAUAGUAAUAGUGUUGAGGAGCGCAGAAGAUAACCUAAAAACAAAAGAAAAGUGCGUGAUCGAUGAUUCAGUGUUGAAUAUCAUAAGGGCGCUUUAUCGAAUAUAUAAUUGCGUGAUAAUACAGUUACAUCAAAAGAACAUAAAAAUGUCGAGCGGGGCUAGUUUAAGUAUGAAGAAAAGCUAAAUAAAGAAAUAACAACAAAAUAAUAACUUGAAACAAAUUUUAGUUCAACGUAUGACUUGUAAGGAAAAGAGUAAAAAUGUCAUAACAUGCGGGUAACCGGUAAAGCCAUAGGAGCAAGUAACGAAUUUUUGACAGACGAGCGUUGAAAACGAUGUGACGUUUGUUAUUCAGAUACACACAAGUGACACCUGUUGGUUAUAUCUUUUGGAGAAACAGCUGGCAGACAAGCUAGCGAAAAAAGAAAUAAAUUUCGUACCAUCAUUGUUAAACUUUAGUGAUAACUAUUGAAAAAAAAAUCACCUUAGAUACCGAAGGUUAAAAAAUGUCCACUAAAAGUUGUUUUAUCUCUUCUUCGCAGUAACUUGGAUACUGAAGGGAAAAAUGUCGUAAAAAAGAUUGUUUCGUUGCGUGCUCUCUACCAACAACGUAAUUAUUAUUAGUUACUUGCGAUGAAUAUCCACACCAAAUUCAAAUGUGUUGGAUGUGAGUAGAAAUUUAUUACAAAUAGCAGAUAAUAUAAAAAUAUACGAAUAACCAUGAACAUAUUAUUCUCUAUCUCUUUCAAUAAUACAUCGUUAUUUCUUAAUUUAUUAGAUAUCAGAAUUAACAAAGCAAUGAAAAAUGGUAAAAAUAUUAAUAUUACGAACUGUUGUCAAGUAUCGUUAGACACUUUCCCUUUUCUAAUUUUACGUUUCUAUAAUAUGUACGUAAAUUAUAUUCAGCGCUUGAAAUUACGAUUUAAUACUGUAAUGAAUUAACCGCAAAUAGAAUCGAGGAAAAGCAGGAAUAACAAUUUUACAUUAAGCGAAAAAUUUGCAGAAUAUUAUAUAAAAAAGUAAAAAUAUCGCGAAUUUUGUACGAGUUUCCGCUUCCUUAAUGUGCAAUUUAUAAUGUGUGAAACAUACCUAAUUUAUUAGUUAUUGUAUUACGUUCUUCUCUCUAAUAGCAUCGAAGAUUUCAGACGUUGUGGUAUAUCGACUACAUGCAUAUAAGCGGAACCUGUUGCAUACGAUACUGUAUGGGUGAAACAUUAUACGAACACAAAUGCUCGCACUCGGUGCAUAUCUGUUCGAAGAUAAAUUUGCAUAGUUAGUCAGUGAGGCAAAAAAUUAGUAAAAAUGGAAGAAGCUCUUUUCACUUUACUUUUAAUAUGUUUAAAAAAGUAAUCGUAAAAGAACGCAAUUAAAUUUCAAGACAUAUUCUAGGAGAAUUAUUUUACCAAUUACAAAAUAUAAGAUAUAUUUUAUUUUGGAGAAAUCUUCCUUAUAUUGUGUCAUUAUAUAUUGUUCGUUAUCCAUUAUAUUAAAUAUUUGUUAAACCAGUUUAAAAAUGCGUAGUGAAAAUUGAUCAUAUAUACAUCCUCAAUUUUUUAUUGGGCGUUUCUCACGAUUUAAUCUUUGGAUAAAGAAAAAAUAAUUUUAUCCAAUCGGACACGUAUUUCGCAUUCGAGCGACAAAUAACCUCGAUGUUAGAAACAAUAGACACACAUUUUUUAUUUCUAUUGAAAAUCUUCGUUCCUACCACUUAUAUUUCACCAUUCCAACAUUUCAAUUAUGGUUUCCAUUCGUUUCAAUGUUGCAUUCUGAGAUAGAAAAACAAUGAAACGAUAAUAUCGUCUGCAAAGCCUUAAAAUGGAUCGCUCGUUAGCGAGAUGCGGCACGGAAGGAAAUGGGAAGUAAACUGGUGAGUGCAUGGGAGAUUACGAAAUUGCGAAAGUGCAUACAAUGAUUCGAUGGUGAGAAAGCAACGAGGUGCUCCACGUGUGUCAAAGAGCAUCGGGCCGGAUUUAACGGAUCUAAAAGUUACAAGAGAAUCAUACGGUUCAUAAGGCUUGAACCCAGUUCGUUAUUCCUCUCGUUGUUAGAAAGCGAGAGCCGGUUAUCCCUUAAUCCGAAGCUCAACUCCGCAGACUUUAAUCUUGCGAUUAGAGUCUCAUCCUUUGAUUUCUUUUGGUACCGAACCUUAGCGUGCUUCCUCGUUCGGCUCAAAUUUUAAUCCGUUCCAUCUGGUUCAGGAAUGAUUAUGAAACUUUCAUUUCUAUUCUCUGUUACACAGCGAUGUACGUUUCGUACGUUGAUUUAUUAAAGGUGAAGCUACGCUUAUAUUUGAAUCGAAUAAAUUUCCAUCAUGUGUUUCGUCGGAAUAAACUUUGGGAAUUAUUCUUUUAAAAUUUCCUUUUGCAUGUUCUCGUAGCACUUGAUGAGCAGAGACGAAGCACAAAGGUUUUGAGUUUAGGAAUCCAUCCGGUUCAAAAGUUAUGUCACUUUUAAAACGAAUGAGUGAGCUAAUUUUCAAGAUUUUGAUGUACAAACGAUUUUUAGUAAAAGUCCUGCAUCGAUUUUUCAGCGGAUUGUCAUUUAUAUUUAUA